rnacentral:rRNA from 1 species
UGGGGGAUAUUGCACAAUGGGGGGAAACCCUGAUGCAGCGACGCCGCGUGAGCGAUGAAGUAUUUCGGUAUGUAAAGCUCUAUCAGCAGGGAAGAAAAUGACGGUACCUGACUAAGAAGCCCCGGCUAACUACGUGCC